ensembl:lncRNA
GUGGGUGUGGUGGUUUCUGUCAGUGGUGUGGGUGUGGUAGUCUUUGUCAGUGGUGUGACUGUGGGUGUGGUGGUCUCUGUUGUGGUCUCUGUCAGUGGUGUGACUGUGGGUGUGGUGGUUUCUGUCAGUGGUGUGACUGUGGGUGUGGUGGUCUCUGUUAUAGUCUCUGUCAGUUGUGUGACUGUGGGUGUAGUGGUUUUUGUGGUGGUCUUUGUCAGUGAUGUGACAGUGGAUGUGGUGGUUUCUGUCAGUGGUGUGGCUGUGGUGGUCUCUGUCAGUGGUGUGGCGGUGGGUGUGGUGGUUUCUGUGGUGGUCUCUGUCAGUGGUGUGGUGGUUGGUGUGGUGGUCUCUGUAAGUGGUGUGGCUGUGGGUGUGGUGGUCUUUGUCAGUAGUGUGACUGUGGGUGUGGUGGUCAUUGUCAGCGGUGUGGCUGUGGGUGUGGUGGUCUCUGUUGUGGUUGUUGUCAGUGAUGUGACUGUGGAUGUGGUGGUCUCUGUCAGUGGUGUGGCUGUGGGUGUGGUGGUCUUUGUCAGUAGUGUGACUGUGGGUGUGGUGGUCAUUGUCAGCGGUGUGGCUGUGGGUGUGGUGGUCUCUGUUGUGGUUGUUGUCAGUGAUGUGACUGUGGAUGUGGUGGUCUCUGUCAGUAGUGUGACUGUGGGUGUGGUGGUCAUUGUCAGCAGUGUGGCUGUGGGUGUGGUGGUCUCUGUUGUGGUUGUUGUCAGUGAUGUGACUGUGGAUGUGGUGGUCUCUGUCAGUGAUGUGACUGUGGGUGUGGUGGUCUUUGUCAGUGGUGUGGCUGUGGGUGUCAUGGUCUUUGUCAGUGGUGUGGCUGUGGGUGUUGUGGUCUUUGUCAGUAGUGUGACUGUGGGUGUGGUGGUCAUUGUCAGCGGUGUGGCUGUGGGUGUGGUGGUCUCUGUUGUGGUUGUUGUCAGUGAUGUGACUGUGGAUGUGGUGGUCUCUGUCAGUAGUGUGACUGUGGGUGUGGUGGUCAUUGUCAGCAGUGUGGCUGUGGGUGUGGUGGUCUCUGUUGUGGUUGUUGUCAGUGAUGUGACUGUGGAUGUGGUGGUCUCUGUCAGUGAUGUGACUGCGGGUGUGGUGGUCUUUGUCAGUGGUGUGGCUGUGGGUGUCAUGGUCUUUGUCAGUGGUGUGGCUGUGGGUGUGGUGAUCUCUGUCAGUGGUGUGGUGGUGGUGGUUUCUGUGGUGGUAUCUCUCAGUGGUGUGGCUGUGGGUGUGGUGGUCUCUGUCAGUGGUGUGACUGUGGUGGUUUCUGUGGUCGUCUCUGUCAGUGGUGUGGCUGUGGAUGUGGUCUUUGUCAUUGGUGUGGCUGUGGAUGUGGUUUCUGUCAGUGGUGUGGCUGUGGGUGUGGUGGUUUCUGUGGUGGUCUCUGUCAGUGGUGUGGUUGUGGUGGUUUCUGUGGUGGUCUCUGUCAGUGGUGUGGCUGUGGGUGUGGUGGUCUUUGUCAUUGGUGUGGCUGUGGAUGUGGUUUCUGUCAGUGGUGUGUCUGUGGGUGUGGUGGUCUCUGUUGUGGUCUUUGUCAGUGGUAUGACUGUGGGUGUGGUGGUCUUUGUCAGUGGUGUGGCUGUGGGUGUGGUGGUCUCUGUCAGUGGUGUGGCUGUGGGUGUGGUGGUCUCUGUCAGUGGCGUGGCUGUGGGUUUGGAGGUCCCUGUGGUGGUGGUUGUCUGUGGUGUGGCUGUGGGUGUGGUGGUCUUUGUCAGUGGUGUGGCUGUGGGUGUCGUGGUCCCUGUGGUGGUGGUUGUCUGUGGUGUGGCUGUGGGUGUGGUGGUCUUUGUCAGUGGUGUGGCUGUGGGUGUCGUGGUCCCUGUGGUGGUGGUUGUCAGUGGUGUGACUGUAGGUGUGGUGGUGGUUUUCAGUGGUGUGGCUCUGGGUGUGGUUGUCUCUGUCAGUGGCGUGGCUGUGGGUUUGGAGGUCCCUGUGGUGGUGGUUGUCUGUGGUGUGGCUGUGGGUGUGGUGGUCUCUGUCAGUGGUGUGGCUGUGGGUGUGGUGGUCUCUGUCAGUGGCGUGGCUGUGGGUGUGGUGGUCCCUGUGGUGGUUGUCAGUGGUGUGACUGUAGGUGUGGUGGUGGUAGUCAGUGGUGUGGCUGUGGGUGUGAGCACUGUCUCUGUGACAGGGGUGUGUGUUGA